AUUGAACGCUGGCGGCAGGCCUAACACAUGCAAGUCGAACGGUAGCACAGAGAGCUUGCUCUCGGGCGACGAGUGGCGGACGGGUGAGUAACGUCUGGGAAACUGCCCGAUGGAGGGGGAUAACUACUGGAAACGGUAGCUAAUACCGCAUAACGUCGCAAGACCAAAGUGGGGGACCUUCGGGCCUCACACCAUCGGAUGUGCCCAGAUGGGAUUAGCUAGUAGGUGGGGUAAUGGCUCACCUAGGCGACGAUCCCUAGCUGGUCUGAGAGGAUGACCAGCCACACUGGAACUGAGACACGGUCCAGACUCCUACGGGAGGCAGCAGUGGGGAAUAUUGCACAAUGGGCGCAAGCCUGAUGCAGCCAUGCCGCGUGUAUGAAGAAGGCCUUCGGGUUGUAAAGUACUUUCAGCGGGGAGGAAGGCGGUGAAGCUAACAGCUUCACCGAUUGACGUUACCCGCAGAAGAAGCACCGGCUAACUCCGUGCCAGCCGCCGCCGUAA
rnacentral:rRNA from 1 species